CAGUUAGCUUCCCAUACCAGAUGGAGUUUUACUGGUCCAGGAGAAGGCCCACAACUGGGUUGCUGGAACAGAUGCUCUGCAGACAGUCUCUGGAUCUGUUUUCUUCCUCCUCCCCAUGCCCCACCUUUGCUUACUGCAUAUGAGCAGUGCCCUGUAGGACUGCUACAGACUACAGCUCUGUAGCAUUAUAGGAGACUUCUAAGCUAAAAUUUCUUUACCGACCUUAUGUUUGAGUAACAUU
rnacentral:lncRNA from 1 species